rnacentral:rRNA from 1 species
GAUGAACGCUGGCGGCGUGCUUAACACAUGCAAGUCGAACGGAAAGGCUCCUGCUUGCAGGGGUACUCGAUUGGCGAACGGGUGAGUAACACGUGGGUGAUCUGCCCUGCACUUCGGGAUAAGCCUUGGAAACUGGGUCUAAUACCGGGGAGGACGAUGGUUUGGAUACCAUUGUGUAAAGUUUUUCGGUGUUGGAUGAGCUCGCGGCCUAUCAGCUUGUUAGUGGGGUAAUGGCCUACCAAGGCGUCGACGGGUGGCCGGCAUGGGAGGGUGUACGGCCACAUUGGUACUGAGAUACGGAGCAGAAUCCUACGGGAGGCAGCAGUGGGGAAUAUUGCACAAUGGGCGCAAGCCUGAUGCAGCGACGUCGCGUGGGGGAUGACGGCCUUCGGGUUGUAAACUACUUUCGCUAGGGACGAAGAGCAAGUGACGGUACCUGGAGAAGAAGCACCGGCUAACUACGUG